AUUCCAGCUCCAAUAGCGUAUAUUAAAGUUGUUGCAGUUAAAAAGCUCGUAGUUGGAGUUCAGAGUGAGCUCAGCCGGUCCGCCUCAUGGGUGAGUACUGGUCGACUCUCUCUUGUUUGUGAAUCCCGCCCGGAGUUAAUUCUUCGGGAUGUGGAGUUCACAUCGUUUACCUUGAAAAAAUUAGAGUGUUCAAAGCAGGCGUUUGCUUGAAUAUAUUAGCAUGGAAUAAUGGAAUAGGACGCUGGUUCUAUUUUGUUGGUUUCGAACACCGAAGUAAUGAUGAGCAGGGACAGUCAGGGGCACUCGUAUUCCGCCGAGAGAGGUGAAAUUCUCAGACCAGCGGAAGACGAACUACUGCGAAAGCAUUUGCCAGGGAUGUUUUCAUCA
rnacentral:rRNA from 1 species